UACGUAGGGUGCAAGCGUUGUCCGGAAUUAUUGGGCGUAAAGAGCUCGUAGGCGGUUUGUCGCGUCUGCUGUGAAAUCCCGGGGCUCAACCCCGGGCUUGCAGUGGAUACGGGCAGACUAGAGUUCGGUAGGGGAGACUGGAAUUCCUGGUGUAGCGGUGAAAUGCGCAGAUAUCAGGAGGAACACCGGUGGCGAAGGCGGGUCUCUGGGCCGAUACUGACGCUGAGGAGCGAAAGCGUGGGGAGCGAACAGG
rnacentral:rRNA from 1 species